CGCGCGUCCCGCGUCCUAGGCGCCCCUCGACCGCGCCGCCUCCUCACCGCCCUCGACCACAGUCGCCCCGCGCGCCCUCGACCGCCGCCGCCUCCUCGCCGCCCCGCGCCGCCUCCUCUCUGCCCUCAACCGCCGACGCCCCGCGCCGCCUCCUCGCCGCACCCAACUCCGGUUGCGCCGUAGUGUCCACCGCCGCCGCCCGCCGCAUCGUCGUCCUCCCCAUCACCCGCCACCAACGCCUACUCCGUCCACCCGCCACCGACACCGAAUCCUCCGCCCACCCGCAACCGCCGCCAACGCCCCCGCCGCUGAGUCAGCUCCAGAUCCGCUGUCGGGCUGACUCCUCCUCCUCCUCCCUGUCGCGGACGCCGCCGCCGCCGAUGCCUACUACUCCGCUCCGAGCCCCAUCUAGCGAACAGAGCAGGGAUGGGAGGGGCGCCGUCGUCCUACUGCAUCCUUGGUGUUGGACUUGAUAAAGCUUGGAGAUCAUCUCAGUGAACGGGAGGAUGCUGAUCUCUAUAGGAUUGGGAUUACUGGUGAAUCACUUGGAGAUAAUCAAGAACUAUCAUGAUCUUUUGUGAUCAAAAGCCCAUAGUCCACUACUAUGUUUUACUACUUCCAGAUUAAUGGAGUGGUAUUGUGGUUUCUCAGCCAUGGCAAUGUGGCGAGCGUCGUCGUCGUCAGGUCCUCCACUGCUGUUCAGUCCGCCGCCACCUACGCCGGUCCUCUCGCUUCCAGGUGACGAACUCUGGUUGAUGGCAUCGCACUGCUGGUACCAGGUGAUUCAUUUUGCUGCCUUCAAUUGUGAAAUGAGAAAUACCUGUAAGUGAAGGCCUAAGCUCAAGGAAUAAUUUGUUCUUUUUGAAAACAAAAAGCUCAUAGGUAGAAUGUUCACCACCAGGCAAGUCAAGGAGCGAAGUAUGGGGACAGUGUGUGCUCGGAAGAUCUUUGCCAGCUUGUGUUUUGACUUCUGAAGGCAUGCACAGAUGUGAAGAUAUGAACUUCUAGGGGAGCUUUAUAAACCGAGAAUAGUUAAGGCAAUACUUGAUUUACUUUGGACUGCAAAUUACUUGAUCGGAUAAUCAAUAUGUGGCGAGCUUUACACAGAUUGGCUUUGAUGAAUCAUUAAAGGGCUAUCGGCGGGGUGAAUAUCUAGCUUUGAACAUGAUUUGUUUUGAUUCCUGUUGCAACGCACGGGCACACAACUAGUAAGUUGUAAAUUCAUCUUGCAAGCAGCUGGGAGAAAUGUUUUGAACAAUGAAUGGAAUGCAAAAUCUUUCUAAUACCUGUAAACUGAAUGAAAUGGCUUAUGAAUAACUGAAUUCCUGUAAA